GAUGAACGCUGGCGGCGUGCUUAACACAUGCAAGUCGAACGGUGAAGCCAAGCUUGCUAGGUGGAUCAGUGGCGAACGGGUGAGUAACACGUGAGCAACCUGCCCUGGACUCUGGGAUAAGCGCUGGAAACGGCGUCUAAUACUGGAUAUGAGCUUCUACCGCAUGGUGGGGGUUGGAAAGAUUUUUUAGUCUGGGAUGGGCUCGCGGCCUAUCAGCUUGUUGGUGAGGUAAUGGCUCACCAAGGCGUCGACGGGUAGCCGGCCUGAGAGGGGGACCGGCCACACUGGGACUGAGACACGGCCCAGACUCCUACGGGAGGCAGCAGUGGGGAAUAUUGCACAAUGGGCGAAAGCCUGAUGCAGCAACGCCGCGUGAGGGAUGACGGCCUUCGGGUUGUAAACCUCUUUUAGCAGGGAAGAAGCGUAAGUGACGGUACCUGCAGAAAAAGCGCCGGCUAACUACGUGCCAGCAGCCGCAGUAA
rnacentral:rRNA from 1 species